rnacentral:rRNA from 1 species
UACUUAGUGGCGGACGGGUGAGUAACGCGUGGGCAACCUGCCCCGUGCCGGGGGAUACCGCCUGGAAACAGGCGCUAAUACCGCAUAAGCGCAUACAGCCGCAUGGCAGUAUGUGGAAAGCUCCGGCGGCACGGGAUGGGCCCGCGCCCGAUUAGCCAGUUGGCGGGGUAACGGCCCACCAAAGCGACGAUCGGUAGCCGGCCUGAGAGGGCGGACGGCCACAUUGGGACUGAGACACGGCCCAAACUCCUACGGAAGGCAGCAG